rnacentral:ncRNA from 19 species
CUCCUAUCGAACCGUUCAGGUGUGCCGGGAGUCUCCCGGCACAGGGAAGCCGGUCCGGGCGCCUCAGGCGGUGCCCCAAGCCGGCGCUGCGCCCGCAACUGUAGGCGGCGAGCGAUCCUUCAUCAUGCCACUGCGCCGAUCGGGCGCGGGAAGGCGAGGGAUUGCGACGACCCGCGAGCCAGGAGACCGGCCUGAGCCACGUCAUCUUCC